CCUACGGGGGGCAGCAGUAGGGAAUAUUGCUCAAUGGGGGAAACCCUGAAGCAGCAACGCCGCGUGGAGGAUGAAGGUUUUAGGAUUGUAAACUCCUUUUGUGAGAGAAGAUAAUGACGGUAUCUCACGAAUAAGCACCGGCUAACUCCGUGCCAGCAGCCGCGGUAAUACGGAGGGUGCAAGCGUUACUCGGAAUAACUGGGCGGAAAGAGUGCGCAGGCGGGCUUGUAAGUCAGAUGUGAAAGUCUGUAGCGUAACUACAGAACUGCAUUUGAAACUAUGAGUCUAGAGUGUGGGAGAGGUAGGUGGAAUUCUUGGUGUAGGGGUAAAAUGCGUAGAUAUCAAGAGGAAUACUCAUUGCGAAGGCGACCUACUGGAACAUUACUGACGCUCAUGCACGAAAGCGUGGGGAGCAAACAGGAUUAGAUACCCUUGUAGUC
rnacentral:rRNA from 1 species